rnacentral:rRNA from 1 species
UACGUAGGGACCAAGCGUUGUCCGGAAUCAUUGGGCGUAAAGAGCGUGUAGGCGGCUUGUUAAGUCUUGCGUGAAAUCUCGGGGCUCAACCCCGAGCGGUCGUGAGAAACUGGCAGGCUAGAGUGCAGGAGAGGAGAGUGGAAUUCCUGGUGUAGCGGUGAAAUGCGCAGAUAUCAGGAAGAACACCCGUGGCGAAGGCGGCUCUCUGGAACGCAACUGACGCUGAGACGCGAAAGCGUGAGGAGCAAACAGG